rnacentral:RNase_P_RNA from 1 species
AGGUGGAGCAUCUAACUGACGCACUUUAAGUGUGAGGAAAGUCCGUCCACUAAUAAUCGGUCGCUUUUCGAAAAGUCGGAGAAAUCCGAGGCAACCGCUCAGAAACGAAACGGCCUUUCUAAAACUAUGAUGCUCGUGAAGGUUUCCGCGAGGAAGCUGAGCUAACCGGCUGAGUAAUGCUAGAAAGGAAUCGGUGAAACGGCGAGUCCCGGCUAGUGCAAGUCCGUAGGACGCUUAGUCAAAUGUUAGAACAACCCGUCCGCUUUGAAACGGGGGUUGACAGAAGACGGCUUACGCUCCUCCU